GACGAACGCUGGCGGCGUGCUUAACACAUGCAAGUCGAGCGAUGAAAGCCUUAUGAACUAUUCGUAGUGAUUGGGGCCGGAUUAGCGGCGGACGGGUGAGUAACGCGUGAGCAACCUGCCUUAAACAACGGGAUAGCCUCGGGAAACCGGGAUUAAUACCGUAUGAGACCCCGCCUUCACAUGAAGCAGAGGUUAAAGAUUUAUCGGUUUAAGAUGGGCUAGCGUCUGAUUAGCUAGUUGGUGAGAUAAAAGCCCACCAAGGCAACGAUCAGUAACCGGCUUGAGAGAGUGAACGGUCACAUUGGAACUGAGACACGGUCCAAACUCCUACGGGAGGCAGCAGUGGGGAAUAUUGCACAAUGGGGGAAACCCUGAUGCAGCGACGCCGCGUGAGCGAUGAAGGAAUUCGUUUCGUAAAGCUCUGUCCAAGGGGAAGAUAAUGACAGUACCCUUGGAGGAAGCCCCGGCUAAAUACGUGCCAGCCGCCGCUGUAA
rnacentral:rRNA from 1 species